rnacentral:ncRNA from 1 species
AUGGGUGAUGGAGUUCACCGCACAACUGCCCUGAGGGGAUGAUGACUCCUGCC